UAGCUCUGACGCCUCCGGCUUAGGCGUCUGUGGUCUGAGCAUGGUCUCAGCAAGCUAAGGAGAAGCCGGUGAUUCUGGUCGGUUCGUGAGCACUCUCGUAUCUGGGAGAAGCCAGCUCACAGCUAUGGAGGGCCCUGCUACAGGACCUCCCUAGCAUGUUUUUAAGGGAGACAGACUGUACUAUUGCAUGCUUUUUGAGACGUCAGCUUGAAUGGCUACAUCAUCCAGAUAGAAAUCAGUACUGAUUCUAAAUAAAUAAUAGGCCAAGCUGAAAAAAAAAAAAUCUCAAUCGUUCGAUCUGUGGGUGGUGGUGGGUGAGCAGCUGCUGUUUUAGAACUUUGAAUGUGGGUCCCUAGGCAUUAGCUUUAUUUAAAAUAGAGUAGUAGCACUUCACACUCUCUGAAAAGUUAAUAGCCCACCUUAAAGGAGACGGUAGCCCCGCAGCAUUUCUACAUGACUAAUGAUACUGCCCUUGUGGGAGGAGCCGUACAUGGCACUUUAGAGAACUCAGAGAAGACAGGGUUCCUCCCCAGCACCUUCCGUGAUGACUCGAGACGGGUAAGAGAUUGAUCAGCACAUGUUUGGGAACCUGAUGUGAAAGAGACAGGAGUGGGGACAGGGACUUAAGUCUUGAGCCAAACAUGCAAGAAAUCCCUCAGCUCCUUACGUGGGUGUGGUUGAAAGCAGCCGGAGUCACUUUUCCCUUCCCUCUGUUCUUUCAUCUGCUCUGUCCUCUACUCCUUCGUGCAGGGCAAUCAGGUCCAAAGUGAGACAGGAGGCGCUGGUCCCCACCGUCACGGUUCUGCCUCGAAGUUUCCCUGACUGGCCUGAAAAUGAGUGGCGAGGCUGCGUUGGUCAUGAGUGUAAGACACAUGUGGGUGGACGAGAGCUACAGGAGUUGGAC
rnacentral:lncRNA from 1 species